CUGCGGCGGUGAGAGGCCCGCGUACAGCAAAAAAAAAAAAAAGAAGGCCCAAGCUUUGGGACGCAGGAGGGACAGUAGCCUAUCGACAGUGGAAGGCUCAGGAGGACAGCCGGGAGAGGGGCCGAGCCCUGGCCGCCUGGUCUCACCAGACACCCUGCAGGGCUACUGCACAACUCUAGGAGGCGCCUUUCACGUGGUGCAGUGUGGCCCGGGCCGUGGCAGGGGUACUUCUGAGAUGACUGGGAGGAGAAGGCGGCGCAGUUUGGAAGCCACGGCAGGCGCCGAGAGCGCUUCUGAACCGGAGCCCGGGAGGGCAGCGAAGGGCGAGCGAAAGCGAAGGGGCGGCUCCGUGGCCCCCUCCCCCGACCUGGGAAGAUUCUCCCCGGACUCCACUGAGAUGGCCCCGCAGUCCCCCCGCACUGAGAGCGCGGCGACCUCCUAGCCCGGACUCCCAGCUCCGGGGAUUCAGUCUCCCUGGCCAGAGUCCUUCCCACCCCACUCCAGUGCUUCCAGUCCCAGCCGCUGGAGACCAAGUCUGGAUGGCAUCAGCAGAACUCGCACCGGGAGAGGGAGGUGCCAAGACGCUUGCUCCUUCCUGGAUGUUUGCUUCUACUGCCCAGACCCACUCCCAGAGGGAUAUCAGCUGAGGAGAUUGCCACUCUCAAGUGCACAUUGCGCAUUGCACACCUCCAGGGGGCACCAUUUCUCCGGUAGUCAUCGUAGACUUGUAUAGCUGUUGUGACUGCUUUCCAGCAGAUGGCACUCAAGCGUUUUGAGAAAGGGAUGCCUUUUUCUAAUGCACCCAGCAGUGCUAUUGGGCUAGUGUCAGGGGUGGCUAGGCCCUCUGUGAGAUCCUGUUGGUGCCUGUAUCCCCUACCCUUUGCCUCAGUCUUGCUGGGAUUAGGAGGGGUUCUAGAGUAGCACGUGGAGAGGGAACUCCUCUCCUAGGUGGUCUCUCAGGUCCCCCAGGGUUUACCCAUCCUCCCCCACAAAACUUUCUGCUAUCCUGGAGCUGAUUUCAGGGUAACGGCGCCUGUCCAGGCAUACCUGGUGACCUACUGUGGAUUUGUUUGGCUUGGCCUAGAAAGCUGCAGGGCGGCCAAGCUGAAGUGCAUAUCAGAGACCCUCUUCCUGCUUCCUCUCCCAGCGCAGGGGUUUUUUCAAUCUCACAGGGAUUGGGCCCUCUCCUACUUUCUGCAAGUACAAACUGUCCAGGUGAGAGGAGGAAGAGGGGCUAGAAGCUGGACCUGCAGGGGCAGAACCAAAAGUUGCAAACUGACGGCACCUACUGGCAACCAUAAAGACUGCAGGAGGGCUGGGGAGUCAUGGCCGAAGACAAGAUUCUGGGAUUCUCUCCGUGCCGUCUCAUGGACUACUGGGGUCUCUUCUGCCCCAUCUGCCUUGGAGAAGGGUAAAGAGAACCAGGAUCCUCAAGUCCCUGGGGAAAGCCUGGCCUGUCCCUGAUUCAGAAAACUGCCCCCAGCCCCCUCCCCGUCCUUCACCAUCAAUGGACCCAGUUCUGCCACAAAUUUAUUGUAUGAACUUGGACACCACCCCUUGGAGCUCGAAUGUCCCUAACUGCAAUGGAGACUUGUCUUCUAGAAACCGCAGACCUGGGAGGCAUAAAGGUACUGGGACAUGGAGGAAGGAGGGCAGAACUGGCGAAGAAGCAUGAAUGCAGGUGAGUGUAGGCAAUCUGGACAGAUUUCCAGGUGAGACAGAUGCCCACACUGCUACCCCAGCAGCCCCCCCAAUCCAUCCUCGGGCUCACCCCCAUCACCAUCUAGGAUAAUUCCUGGGAGGCAGGAAAAUGAACACGAGGAGGCCUCCCCACCAUUCAUGCAACCCACCUUUACUGAGCACCUGUUGUGUGCAGGCUUUGUGCUACAUCCAGGGGAUCCAGACACAGCCGAGACCACUGUCCGCCCUCAGGGAGCUUACUGCCUAGUGAGGGGAGACAGACAUAUGAAUAAAAUAAGUGCAGGUGCCCUGGGGGUGUUUAUAGGGGGCAGGGUGGGCCAGAGGCACAAAUGGUCAGUUCGACAUCCAGAGCGUGGAAAGACUUCAUGGAGGAGGUGACCCUUGAGCCAACAACGGUCUUCCAUGCUAGAGGAACAAACACAGGUAGCAUCAGGCUAACCUGGAUUCUAUCCCAGUUUUGCCACCAAGGUCACCGGGGAACCUGAAACAAGUUACUGUCUGAGCUUCACUGAGCUUCACUUUUUUUUUCUUUUUUUUUUA